rnacentral:rRNA from 1 species
UACGAGGGGGGCAAGUGUUGUUCGGAAUCACUGGGCGUAAAGGGUGCGUAGGUGGGCAGGUAAGUCAGCGGUGAAAUCUCCGGGCUUAACCCGGAAACUGCCGUUGAUACUAUUUGUCUUGAAUAUAGUGGAGGUGAGCGGAAUAUGUCAUGUAGCGGUGAAAUGCUUAGAUAUGACAUAGAACAUCGAUUGCGAAGGCAGCUCGCUACACUAUUAUUGACACUGAGGCACGAAAGCGUGGGGAUCAAACAGG